rnacentral:rRNA from 1 species
CUUGUAGUGUGGGUUGAUGGGCCUUGGCCUCCUGUUCUUCAGAGAUGUUUGUCCAAGUUAUGGGAAAUGUUCCAUGAGCAGAACUGUGGAAGGGUACUUGACAAGGAGAAGUUUGAGAAGGAGUUGGCCAAGCUUAAGAUGGAAAAUGACAAGCUUUGCAUUGAGUACACCAAGCUUGUUGAUGACGUAUCCAAGAUGUUUGAUUGGCAGGAUGGUAGGGUGUACAAGAAGGUGAACUAGAAACAAGUGGAGGAGGAAGAUCUUGAGAAGAAAAGAAGGAGGAGCUAG